rnacentral:rRNA from 1 species
GGUCAAGUGAAGAAGCGCAUACGGUGGAUGCCUUGGCAGUCAGAGGCGAUGAAAGACGUGGUAGCCUGCGAAAAGCUUUGGGGAGUCGGCAAACAGACUGUGAUCCAGAGAUCUCUGAAUGGGGGAACCCACCCGGCAUAAGCCGGGUAUCUUGUACUGAAUCCAUAGGUGCAAGAGGCGAACCAGGGGAACUGAAACAUCUAAGUACCCUGAGGAAAAGAAAUCAACCGAGAUUCCCUAAGUAGUGGCGAGCGAACGGGGACUAGCCCUUAAGUUGAUUUGAGUGUAGUGGAAGGCUCUGGAAAGUGCCGCCGUAGUGGGUGAUAGCCCCGUACACGAAACGCUCUUAUCAAUGAAAUCGAGUAGGACGGGGCACGAGAAACCUUGUCUGAACAUGGGGGGACCAUCCUCCAAGGCUAAAUACUACUGACUGACCGAUAGUGAACCAGUACCGUGAGGGAAAGGCGAAAAGAACCCCGGAGAGGGGAGUGAAAUAGAACCUGAAACCGUAUGCGUACAAGCAGUGGGAGCCUACUUUGUUGGGUGACUGCGUACCUUUUGUAUAAUGGGUCAGCGACUUAUAUUCAGUGGCGAGCUUAACCGAAUAGGGGAGGCGUAGCGAAAGCGAGUCUUAAUAGGGCGCUUUAGUCGCUGGGUAUAGACCCGAAACCGGGCGAUCUAUCCAUGGGCAGGUUGAAGGUUAGGUAACACUGACUGGAGGACCGAACCGACUACCGUUGAAAAGUUAGCGGAUGACCUGUGGAUCGGAGUGAAAGGCUAAUCAAGCUCGGAGAUAGCUGGUUCUCCUCGAAAGCUAUUUAGGUAGCGCCUCGUGUAUCACUGCUGGGGGUAGAGCACUGUUUCGGCUAGGGGGUCAUCCCGACUUACCAAACCGAUGCAAACUCCGAAUACCAGCAAGUGUCAGCACGGGAGACACACGGCGGGUGCUAACGUCCGUCGUGAAAAGGGAAACAACCCAGACCGUCAGCUAAGGUCCCAAAGUUAUGGUUAAGUGGGAAACGAUGUGGGAAGGCUUAGACAGCUAGGAGGUUGGCUUAGAAGCAGCCAUCCUUUAAAGAAAGCGUAAUAGCUCACUAGUCGAGUCGGCCUGCGCGGAAGAUGUAACGGGGCUCAAACCAUACACCGAAGCUACGGGUUCAUCCUUUGGAUGAGCGGUAGAGGAGCGUUCUGUAAGCCUGUGAAGGUGAGUUGAGAAGCUUGCUGGAGGUAUCAGAAGUGCGAAUGCUGACAUGAGUAACGACAAUGCGAGUGAAAAACUCGCACGCCGAAAGACCAAGGUUUCCUGCGCAACGUUAAUCGACGCAGGGUUAGUCGGCCCCUAAGGCGAGGCAGAAAUGCGUAGUCGAUGGGAAACGGGUUAAUAUUCCCGUACUUCUAGUUACUGCGAUGGAGGGACGGAGAAGGCUAGGCCAGCACGGCGUUGGUUGUCCGUGUUUAAGGUGGUAGGCUGAGAUCUUAGGUAAAUCCGGGAUCUUAAGGCCGAGAGCUGAUGACGAGCGUUCUUUUAGAAUGCGAAGUGGUUGAUGCCAUGCUUCCAGGAAAAGCUUCUAAGCUUCAGGUAACUAGGAACCGUACCCCAAACCGACACAGGUGGUUAGGUAGAGAAUACCAAGGCGCUUGAGAGAACUCGGGUGAAGGAACUAGGCAAAAUGGCACCGUAACUUCGGGAGAAGGUGCGCCGGUGAGGGUGAAGUAUUUACUACGUAAGCCCAUGCCGGUCGAAGAUACCAGGCCGCUGCGACUGUUUAUUAAAAACACAGCACUCUGCAAACACGAAAGUGGACGUAUAGGGUGUGACGCCUGCCCGGUGCCGGAAGGUUAAUUGAUGGGGUUAGCGCAAGCGAAGCUCUUGAUCGAAGCCCCGGUAAACGGCGGCCGUAACUAUAACGG